AUUGAACGCUGGCGGAAUGCUUUACACAUGCAAGUCGAGCGGCAGCGCGGGGCAACCUGGCGGCGAGCGGCGAACGGGUGAGUAACAUAUCGGAACGUACCCAGUCGUGGGGGAUAACUAUCCGAAAGGAUAGCUAAUACCGCAUACGACCUGAGGGUGAAAGCGGGGGACCGAAAGGCCUCGCGCGAUUGGAGCGGCCGAUAUCGGAUUAGCUAGUUGGUGAGGUAAAGGCUCACCAAGGCGACGAUCCGUAGCUGGUCUGAGAGGACGACCAGCCACACUGGAACUGAGACACGGUCCAGACUCCUACGGGAGGCAGCAGUAGGGAAUAUUGGACAAUGGGGGCAACCCUGAUCCAGCCAUGCCGCGUGAGUGAAGAAGGCCCUCGGGUUGUAAAGCUCUUUUGUCCGGAAAGAAAGCAUCUGGUUAAUACCCGGGUGUUCUGACGGUACCGGAAGAAUAAGCACCGGCUAACUACGUGCCAGCAG
rnacentral:rRNA from 1 species